rnacentral:rRNA from 1 species
UACAGAGGGUGCAAGCGUUAAUCGGAGUUACUGGGCGUAAAGGGCGCGUAGGCGGAUAUUUAAGUCGGAUGUGAAAUACCUGAGCUUAACUUGGGAACUGCAUUCGAUACUGGAUGUCUAGAGUAUGGUAGAGGAAAGUGGAAUUCCCGGUGUAGCGGUAAAAUGCGUAGAUAUCGGGAGGAACAUCAGGGCGAAGGCGGCUUUCUGGCCCAAUACUGACGCUGAGGCGCGAAAGCGUGGGGAGCAAACAGGAUUAGAUACCCGUGUA